rnacentral:rRNA from 1 species
AUUGAACGCUGGCGGCAUGCCUUACACAUGCAAGUCGAACGGUAACAGGUCUUCGGAUGCUGACGAGUGGCGAACGGGUGAGUAAUACAUCGGAACGUGCCCGAUCGUGGGGGAUAACGAAGCGAAAGCUUUGCUAAUACCGCAUAAGAUCUACGGAUGAAAGCAGGGGACCGCAAGGCAUUGCGCGAACGGAGCGGCCGAUGGCAGAUUAGGUAGUUGGUGGGAUAAAAGCUUACCAAGCCGACGAUCUGGAGCUGGUCUGAGAGGACGACCAGCCACACUGGGACUGAGACACGGCCCAGACUCCUACGGGAGGCAGCAGUGGGGAAUUUUGGACAAUGGGAGAAAGCCUGAUCCAGCCAUGCCGCGUGCAGGAUGAAGGCCUUCGGGUUGUAAACUGCUUUUGUACGGAACGAAAAGACUCUUUCUAAUAAAGAGGGUCCAUGACGGUACCGUAAGAAUAAGCACCGGCUAACUACGUGCCAGCCGCCGCCGUAACAC